CUGCCUGAUGGAGGGGGAUAACUACUGGAAACGGUAGCUAAUACCGCAUAACGUCGCAAGACCAAAGAGGGGGACCUUCGGGCCUCUUGCCAUCAGAUGUGCCCAGAUGGGAUUAGCUAGUAGGUGGGGUAAUGGCUCACCUAGGCGACGAUCCCUAGCUGGUCUGAGAGGAUGACCAGCCACACUGGAACUGAGACACGGUCCAGACUCCUACGGGAGGCAGCAGUGGGGAAUAUUGCACAAUGGGCGCAAGCCUGAUGCACCCAUGCCGCGUGUGUGAAGAAGGCCUUCGGGUUGUAAAGCACUUUCAGCGAGGAGGAAGGUGGUGAGCUUAAUACGUUCAUCAAUUGACGUUACUCGCAGAAGAAGCACCGGCUAACUCCGUGCCAGCAGCCGCGGUAAUACGGAGGGUGCAAGCGUUAAUCGGAAUUACUGGGCGUAAAGCGCACGCAGGCGGUUUGUUAAGUCAGAUGUGAAAUCCCCGGGCUCAACCUGGGAACUGCAUUUGAAACUGGCAAGCUAGAGUCUCGUAGAGGGGGGUAGAAUUCCAGGUGUAGCGGUGAAAUGCGUAGAGAUCUGGAGGAAUACCGGUGGCGAAGGCGGCCCCCUGGACGAAGACUGACGCUCAGGUGCGAAAGCGUGGGGAGCAAACAGGAUUACAUACCCUGGUAGUCCACGCUGUAAACGAUGUCGAUUUGGAGGUUGUGCCCUUGAGGCGUGGCUUCCGGAGCUAACGCGUUAAAUCGACCGCCUGGGGAGUACGGCCCCAAGGUUAAAACUCAAAUGAAUUGACGGGGGCCCGCCCAAGCGGUGGAGCAUGUGGUUUAAUUCGAUGCAACGCGAAGAACCUUACCUACUCUUGACAUCCAGAGAACUUUCCAGAGAUGGAUUGGUGCCUUCGGGAACUUUGAGACAGGUGCUGCAUGGCUGUCUUCAGCUCGUGUUGUGAAAUGUUGGGUUAAGUCCCGCAACGAGCGCAACCCUUAUCCUUUGUUGCCAGCGGUUCGGCCGGGAACUCAAAGGAGACUGCCAGUGAUAAACUGGAGGAAGGUGGGGAUGACGUCAAGUCAUCAUGGCCCUUACGAGUAGGGCUACACACGUGCUACAAUGGCGUAUACAAAGAGAAGCGACCUCGCGAGAGCAAGCGGACCUCAUAAAGUACGUCGUAGUCCGGAUUGGAGUCUGCAACUCGACUCCAUGAAGUCGGAAUCGCUAGUAAUCGUAGAUCAGAAUGCUACGGUGAAUACGUUCCCGGGCCUUGUACACACCGCCCGUCACACCAUGGGAGUGGGUUG
rnacentral:rRNA from 1 species